GUAGCAAUACUUAGUGGCAGACGGGUGAGUAACAUGUAGGUAUCUUCCCAUUGGUGAGGAAUAACACGAGGAAACUUGUGCUAAUACCUCAUAAGUCUUUACGGAGAAAGCUCUAUGCGCCGAUGGAUGAGCCUGCACUUGAUUAGUUUGUUGGUAGGGUAAUGGCCUACCAAGACAAUGAUCAAUAGCUGAUUUGAGAGGAUGAUCAGCCACAUUGGGGCUGAGACACGGCCCAAACUCCUACGGGAGGCAGCAGUAGGGAAUCUUGCACAAUGGGGGAAACCCUGAUGCAGCGAUGCCGCGUGAGUGAAGAAGGCCUUUGGGUUGUAAAGCUCUUUCGUCGGGGAAGAAAAUGACUGUACCCGAAUAAGAAGGUCCGGCUAACUUCGUGCCAGCAGCCGCGGUAAUACGAAGGGACCUAGCGUAGUCCGGAAUUACUAGGCUUAAAGAGUUCGCAGGUGGUUAAAAAAGUUGGUGGUGAAAUCCCAGAGCUUAACUCUGGAACUGCCAUCAAAACUUUUUAGCUAGAGUAUGAUAGAGGAAAGCAGAAUUUCUAGUGUAGAGGUGAAAUUCGUAGAUACUAGAAAGAAUACCAAUUGCGAAGGCAGCUUUCUGGAUCAUUACUGACACUGAGGAACGAAAGCAUGGGUAGCGAAGAGGAUUAGAUACCCUCGUAGUCCAUGCCGUAAACGAUGUGUGUUAGACGUUGGAAAUUUAUUUUCUGUGUCGCAGCGAAAGCAAUAAACACACCGC
rnacentral:rRNA from 1 species